ACGACACAUCCGGGCCGGAAGGAGGCGACGGCGGCAGUGCUGGUCACGGCACGGACCCGAGCACCGGCAGCGGCGGCCCCCGAGCCCCCAACCCCCUACCGCGGAGCAGCGAGCAGCCCGGGCCGGGCCAGGCCAAGCGGCAGCAUGAUCACCUCGGCCGCUGGAAUUAUUUCUCUUCUGGAUGAAGAAGAGCCACAGCUCAAGGAGUUCGCUCUUCACAAACUGAAUGCUGUUGUCAAUGACUUUUGGGCAGAAAUCUCUGAGUCAGUGGAUAAAAUUGAAGUUCUCUAUGAAGAUGAGGGUUUCCGGAGUCGCCAGUUUGCUGCCUUGGUAGCUUCCAAAGUGUUUUAUCACCUGGGAGCCUUUGAGGAGUCUCUGAACUAUGCCUUGGGAGCAGGCGAUCUCUUCAAUGUGAAUGACAAUUCAGAAUAUGUGGAGACUAUCAUUGCAAAAUGUAUUGACCACUACACCAAGCAGUGUGUGGAGAAUGCAGAACUGGCCGAAGUGGAGAAGAAACCUGUCGACGAAAGGCUGGAAGGGAUUGUUAACAAGAUGUUCCAGCGGUGUUUGGAUGAUCACAAGUACAAGCAGGCCAUUGGGAUUGCACUGGAGACCCGCAGGCUGGAUGUCUUUGAGAAAACCAUACUGGAAUCGAAUGAUGUUCCUGGAAUGCUAGCAUACAGCUUAAAGCUCUGCAUGUCUCUGAUGCAGAAUAAGCAGUUCCGUAAUAAAGUGCUGAGAGUUCUGGUUAAAAUCUACAUGAACCUGGAGAAACCAGACUUCAUCAACGUGUGCCAGUGCCUGAUUUUCCUGGAUGACCCCCAGGCUGUAAGUGACAUCUUGGAAAAGCUGGUGAAGGAAGACAACCUUCUCAUGGCUUAUCAGAUCUGCUUUGAUCUGUAUGAAAGUGCCAGCCAGCAGUUCUUGUCUUCUGUGAUCCAGAAUCUUCACACUGUUGGAACCCCUAUUGCCUCUGUGCCUGGAUCAACCAACACUGGGACUGUCCCUGGAUCUGAGAAAGACAGUGACACUAUGGAAACAGAAGAGAAGCCAAGUAGCACUUGUGCUGCGAAGUCUGCAGAAUCUAACCCAGAGCCUAAGGACCAGAUUUCAAAAAUGAUUAAAAUUUUAAGUGGUGAAAUGGCUAUUGAGUUACACCUGCAGUUUUUAAUACGAAACAACAAUACAGACCUGAUGAUUCUCAAAAACACAAAGGAUGCAGUGCGGAACUCUGUAUGCCACACAGCAACGGUUAUAGCAAACUCUUUUAUGCACUGUGGGACAACCAGUGACCAGUUCCUUAGAGAUAAUUUGGAAUGGCUGGCCAGAGCCACUAAUUGGGCUAAGUUUACUGCUACUGCCAGCCUGGGUGUCAUACAUAAGGGUCAUGAGAAGGAAGCUCUACAAUUAAUGGCAACAUACUUACCCAAAGACACCUCUCCGGGCUCGGCCUAUCAGGAGGGCGGAGGUCUCUAUGCAUUGGGUCUGAUUCAUGCUAAUCACGGUGGUGACAUCAUUGACUAUCUGCUGAACCAGUUGAAGAAUGCCAGCAAUGAUAUUGUCCGACAUGGUGGUAGCCUGGGUCUGGGUCUGGCUGCUAUGGGGACUGCACGCCAGGAUGUGUAUGAUUUGCUGAAAACAAACCUCUACCAGGACGAUGCAGUGACAGGUGAAGCAGCUGGUCUGGCAUUGGGUCUGGUAAUGCUGGGAUCUAAAAAUGCUCAGGCUAUUGAGGACAUGGUUGGCUACGCACAGGAAACGCAGCAUGAAAAGAUCUUGCGGGGUCUGGCUGUUGGUAUUGCUCUGGUGAUGUAUGGGAGGAUGGAGGAAGCAGAUGCCCUCAUAGAGAGUCUCUGCAGAGAUAAGGAUCCAAUCCUCCGUCGUUCAGGAAUGUAUACUGUAGCUAUGGCUUACUGCGGCUCAGGGAACAACAAGGCAAUCAGACGUCUGCUGCAUGUUGCUGUGAGUGAUGUCAAUGAUGAUGUGAGGCGGGCAGCGGUUGAGUCACUUGGAUUCAUUCUGUUCAGGACUCCUGAACAGUGUCCCAGUGUAGUUUCUUUGCUGUCAGAAAGCUACAACCCACAUGUGCGUUACGGGGCUGCCAUGGCUCUGGGUAUCUGCUGUGCUGGCACAGGAAAUAAGGAAGCAAUUAAUUUGCUUGAGCCAAUGACAAAUGAUCCUGUGAACUAUGUGCGUCAAGGAGCUCUGAUUGCAUCUGCCCUUAUCAUGAUUCAGCAGACUGAGAUCACCUGUCCAAAGGUCAGCCAGUUCAGACAGCUCUAUUCCAAAGUCAUUAAUGAUAAGCAUGACGAUGUUAUGGCCAAGUUUGGAGCAAUCCUGGCCCAGGGCAUCUUGGAUGCAGGUGGCCAUAAUGUAACUAUCUCGCUGCAGUCAAGGACAGGACAUACUCACAUGCCUUCAGUGGUGGGGGUACUGGUCUUCACUCAGUUCUGGUUCUGGUUCCCCCUCUCACACUUCUUGUCAUUGGCUUACACCCCAACCUGUGUGAUUGGCCUUAACAAGGACCUUAAGGUAUGUGCUUCCAUGGUUGAUACAGUAGUCUGAUGAGAGAUUAAAUAGCUGGAUGACAACUGCUUGCAGUUCCAUGAUGAUUUCCAUCAUAACCACCAAUCAUUAGUUUUCUGCAAGUUUGUUCAUGAAGGGAAUCUUACUACAAACAGAACAAGAAUCAUGUGUUCUGCAUGGUGCUGAAGAGUAUCAAUAGCUGAAUGUUUAUAAUGAGUUGCUGGCACAAAGAGAGCAACGCCUUUCCUAACCAUGUUCUUUUCAUCACCAAGGGAAUGCAGUCUGUAAGAUUUAAUUUCCUGGGGUCCUUAUGUUGCACCAGUACCAUUGUGUCUGGCCUCUGCAUUAGCUUUCUGGUUUACCCCCUUUUCAUUCUGAAUGCUAUCAGCUCAUCUGCAGAGAAUCUGUGGAGGUCAGCCUGGCAGAGCUUUGGGCACCAUCCAAAUUUGGGAACUCUUUUUAAACUCUGUUCCCGUUGAACCAGCUUCUAACAGUUUGCCUGGCCAUCAUGUCCUAGCUGCUUAUUAUAUAACCUUGCCUUCUUUGGAGGAGAUAGAGAAAUCAUGGCUGUUACAGUGUGGGGGGGGGGGAUAUGAAUACAGCCCCUAUCGUAAAUCUCUGAAGGAGUCCAGUUGUUUGAGGAAAGAGUUCCAAAGAUGCAUUGACUGCACUGUGCCCAUUGAAACACUAUACUGUGCCUUGGUAAUGGUGCAUUAAGACACCUUCAUAGGCUGUAAUAUAGGAUAGGAUAGGAGAUGGUUUUAGAACAUAUUUUGACCUUAUCCACCGUAGCUAGCUAAGGUGUGCUAGAAACUGUAGCUGGAAGAUUGUGAAAAGCUAAUUAAUCGUAGUGCCUCAAUUUUGUUUGAGCCUUAGCAUAGAUAGGGCUGAUAUUACCGUGGGUGACUGGUGGGAUUUGAAUCAUUCAGUCCCUGUGGGUAGAGAUCUGAGUAUUAAAGAUUGUAUUAUAUAAGCCCUUCAAAAGGUUACACUUUAAAGCUUCCCAUUACAGAAAGCCUAGUGCCUCCUGGCUAAGGAUGUGAUACUUCACUCUCUGAGUUUGAAAAAUAUGCCUAAAACGUGGAAUGAGAGGAGCCAGUAUUUCACUCUGAAAGUCACUGGUAAAUCGGCAGUUUGAGUUUGAGUCAGAAUCUAGAGUGACGGAAGCCUGAAUGUUUUGCAGUUUGUGCUGCAGUCUCCCUCUUUGUGCUGGAAAAGCUCGAUCGUGUACAGCAAUCUUUCCCAGGCUUAUUUAUGUGCAUUGGCGCAUUGUAUGCGUUAUCUGGUUUUCUUUCCUGCACCGUGUACAUUUCACUGCAGGAGAUGAAACCUUGCAAUUUCAGAGUCUCUCAUCAAAUGGCACUCACUUCAUUAAAAUAUUGGUAGAUUCUAAACCCACCAAACUGUCAAACUAUGCCCAUGAGGAUUCGGGAGUGAGGCUAGAAAUAGGAGACACAGUCUGGAUUCCUAGGUAUAAAAGUAGGGAAAGGACCAAUUGGUCAGCUAAUUCCUCUCCCUACAUUGUAGCACUUCGAGGGCUAUCUUCCCCUCAGCAUGCCAAGUAUUUAUUUGAUCCUUCCGUUAACAUUGAAGGGAUUGGGGAACAUGCUUGUUACACUGCUGAUAUAGUAACAGUGCCCAAGUCCUGUAGUUCUUGUUUGUUGUUACAGCGAAAAUUGUGUUAAGACCUUGAUUUAAAUUCAGCUAGAAUUGUCUGGAGCCCAGCUCUGGUAAUAUUUUCAUGGCUCUGGGGGGCCAUGAGCCAGUUCCAGGAUGUCUGUGGGGCUGCACAGGGCUGGAGUCACGGCACCGCUCCUGUGUGGGAGAGAAGCCCCUAGCCCCACCAUAGGGCAGAAGCCCCAAGCGCCACUCCUUCCCCACCCUGGUCUGGUAGGCGGAAAAUGGAGAGGGCAUGGGGGGCUUCAGAAAAUACUUCAAGAGAAUUUAAGCCCUGGCUAAGACCCCACAUUUAUGAAGGACCAGCUCCAGGUAUCACCAAGUAUUUUCCGCUGUUAAUUAACUACAUCUCCAACUCAACUAGAUAUCACCCUAUCAUUCUUCCCCGAUCAUACCCAGAGACUCAUGAGGGGCUCCUGGUCUUCAGCCUCCAGAACCCUCACUAGGGAGUCCCACAUGGAUCCACUUUCUCCCCCAUCCUGUUCCACACUUACGUAAAAUCACCAGAGGAGAUUGUGGAACAGCAUAGACUGGAACGCCAGCAAUGCCCAGACUGAACCCAGUUCCGUCCACUUCACUCACCCAUACAGUGCGUAUCCCAGCUGUGCUGGGACCUGGCUGAGAUCAGCAACUUCCUCUGGGAACAGCUGAGGUGACUUUGGCGGGGAGAGAGAGAAGCACUUUGAAGAAUUCACUGCCUCCAUGGCAUCCUUCUCCAUCAAGGGCCUCCGAGCGUCAGAGCAGCCAUCGGCCAUGGUGAGCUCUGGACUUCUCACCACAUCUGGAUUCCAAAUAGCUACAGUCAUGGGAAGUUCCCUUUCUGUCUACUCUGCCCCCUCCUGUGUGGAUCAGACUUAGCCUCAGUGACCCCUGUAUCCAUCCCCCUGGGUUGGCUAAUGUAACUCCCUCCGCCAAAGAAUGAAACCAGCAGUUGGUUUUUGUUUUUUUGUUUUUGUUUUUUUUAAGGUUCCAAAUAAAGCAGUACAGGGCUCUGAGAAGCUGUCACCGCCCUGCUCUGCUAUCUGCACUGGCUCCCUGUGUAAUAUGGGUUAAAUUCAGGAUUACAGUUCUUACCUUCAAAGCAGUCAGCAGGACUGGUCCAAGUUACAGGGCUACAGCUGUUUGCCAUCACCCGGCAUAACGUCGGAGCAGAGCUGUCAGUGCCAAGGGACUGCGACUCCAGAAUGCUCUCCCGUUCCGUGUAUGUUAGUGUUAAAUGAUGGCACCCUUCUGUGUGCAGCUAACAAGUGACGUCUCAGUUAGUCUGAAAGGAGCUUGGUUCAAAAGGCCAUUUCUGUGUAAGCUCCCCAUUACCGUUGUGACUGGUUGGAUCACAGAAAACUCCUUGGGAACUACCACCUGAUGUGCUGGAACUACCCCUUAGCCCGUUUCCCCUGGCAGCUUGUGACUUCAGAGUCCUGCCUGGUUUGAGCCAGACACACCAGCCUGCUGCAAACCCAGACCCUGGUCUGAACCACGUCCCCCAAACGCUGCUGGCUUAACUGAAACCAGCUUAAGAAGUGUUCCUGUCUCCAGCACUCAAAUACCCAACUCCCAAUGGGAUCCAAACCCCAAAUAAAUCCAUUUUACCCCAUAUAAAGCUUAUACAGGGUAAAUUCAUAAAUUGUUCACCCUCUAUAACACUGAUAGAGAGAGAUGCACAGCUGUUUGCCCCUCCUCCCCCCAGUAUUAAUACAUACUCUGGGUUAAUUAAUAAGUAAAAAGUGAUUUUAUUAAAUACAAAAAGUAGGAUUUAAGUGGUUCCAAAAGUAACAGACAGAACAAAGUGAAUUACCAAACAAAAUAAAAUAAAACACGCAAGUCUAUGCCUAAUACAGUAGAAAAGCUGAAUACAGAUAAAAUCUCACCCUCAGAGAUGUUUCAAUAAGCAUCUAUCACAGACUGGACGCCUUCCUAGUCUGGGCACAAUUCUUUCCCCUGGUACAGCCUUUGUUCCAGCUCAGAUGAUAACUAGGGGAUUUCUCAUGCCUGCAGCCUCUUUUGUUCUGUUCCACCACCUUAUAUAGCUUUGGCACAAGGCGGGACUCUUUUGUGUCUCUGGGUUCCCCCUCCCCCCUCUUCUAAAUGGAAAAGUACCAGGUUAAAGAUGGAUUCCAAUUCAGGUGACACGAUCACAUGUCACUGUAAGACCUCAAGCCCUCAUUCCUCCCAGGCUGACUCACAGGAAGGCCUGCCUGCAAACAGAGCCAUCCACAGUCAAUUGUCCUGGAUGAUGGGAGCCAUCAAGAUUCCAAACCACCAUUAAUGGCCCACACAUUGCAUAACUACAAUAGGACCUCAGAGUUGUAUUUCAUAUUUCUAGUUUCAGGUACAAGAGUGAUACAUUUAUACAAAUAGGAUGACCACGCUCAGUAGAUUAUAAGCUUUGUAAUGAUACCUUACAAGAGACCUUUUCCAUGAAGCAUAUUCCAGUUACAUUAUAUUCAUUAGCAUAUUUUCAUAAAAUCAUAUAGCGUGCAAUGUCACAGCUGUAGUAUCAGAGCACCUCUCAAAUACUAACAGAGGGCGCCCAGGGAAUUGGUGACAGUACUAGGAUUUGAUCCCAGAUCUCUUGAAUCCACAUCCAAUGCCACAACCACACAGCCAUUGUUCCUCCCUUGGCUUUCUGGGGCUCUCAGCUCUAAUUGUGCUCUAAUUCCUUGUGAUGAUUUUUUAAGGUGCACAACAUUUUUCAUGUAAGUUGAGCAACUCAAUUUUACUGGCUAAAACCUUGUAGGUCAUAUAGCUUUCAACGCUCAUUCAUUUGGCCUCUUCCAACUCUUACCUGUUCUGGCACUGAAGAGGUGUGUUGGGAAGUAAAAGCAGCUUAGAUACAGUGGUGGUGAGUGCAGUAUAAAUAUUUGGAUGGAUAGAUAGGAGGGCAGUUGAAGAAAGCUGUCUGGCCGUAUCCGACUGGGGGAGUGUAAUAUAAUGUGAAACCAGUGAAACUUGUACUGGAAAAAGUGAAUGGCGGAAGAUGCGUGGUCUAGUCUGCCGUGCACAGAUAAAGCUGAUCCUGUUUUAGGUCUUAAGGCCAGUUUUGUGCAAAAGUCAGCCAUAGCUAAACCAUGACCGCAUCGUAACAAUGAAGAAACAGUUGGAUGUACAUAGUGUGCAGUAAGCUGGAGAAGGAGAAAAUGUCGUACCAGAGUUGAAUUAUAUCAUAAUUGAAUAACGAUGUUACAGCUGAACAUUUGCCACGGAUGGCAGCUUCUCAGCUUCCGGAGGGGGAAAAGGGAAGCUUUUGUACUUUAGAUGAUUUGUGUUUAUCUUUGUAAGGAGGAAAAGGCAACCAAGGCAGCUAUUCUGCUGUUUGGUUCUUUCCCUUUACUUUCCUGUAACAACUCUUUCAAAAGUCUGUAUUUUUUUUUAGAUGCCAAAAGUCCAGUACAAAUCCAACUGCAAGCCCUCUACGUUUGCAUAUCCUGCCCCUCUGGAGGUACCAAAGGAAAAGGAGAAG